AGCUGAUGAGGAAACGUUUCCUUUAAGCGAAUCGUUAGACGAAUUGGAUGCUGCCGACAGUAGGAUGUCCUUGUCUAAAGAUGAAUACAGGAAGGAGGACAGGAAGUGCAUCAGGCUAAACGAGGACUGCGCCCACGACAAGGACAACUGCUGCUGGGCUAUAUUCACCCAGAUGAAGUGCAAAUGCCUGAAGGACAGAAAGGGAGUAGAACGCUGCUUUUGCAAACCCCCCUCUUUGUACUACUGAGUCGUCGAUUUGAAAGUGAACAUCGGCAAAAAAAUGGUCUGAGGCAACCCACCUCACUCUUUUGUCAAAUAUAUGUUCAAUAAAGAUACUUUAUAGAAAAAUUCAUAGCUCAAAA